GUUGUAGCCCAAGAAGAGGUCUGUAGAGUUGUUAAAAGUUAACUGUUGAAUGUAACUUCCAGUCUGGAGUAAAGCAGCUGAUGGACAUCUGAUGCUGGUAACUCCUUGGGAAAGUAGGCUAAGUAAGGUUAUAGGUUCCUGGCUAGGUAGGGUCAGCGUCCCUGAGUCAGCCUGAAGUAGUUACAGAAGAUGGAUGAUCUUUGCCCCUCAGCUCCCCUUAAGAUCAAGGGACAAGAGUCACUCCCAAG